UACGUAGGGUGCGAGCGUUAAUCGGAAUGACUGGGCGUAAAGGGUGCGCAGGCGGUUUGUUAAGACAGAUGUGAAAUCCCCGGGCUUAACCUGGGAACUGCAUACGUGACUGGCAAGCUAGAGUAUGGCAGAGGGGGGUGGAAUUCCACAUGUAGCAGUGAAAUGCGUAGAGAUGUGGAGGAACACCGAUGGCGAAGGCAGCCCCCUGGGCCAAUACUGACGCUCAUGCACGAAAGCGUGGGGAGCAAACAGG
rnacentral:rRNA from 1 species